GAAAUGCGAUAAGUAGUGUGAAUUGCAGAAUUCAGUGAAUCAUCGAAUCUUUGAACGCACAUUGCGCCCCUUGGUAUUCCAUGGGGCAUGCCUGUUCGAACGUCAUUUGUACCCUCAAGCUCUGCUUGGUGUUGGGUGUUUGUCCCGUCUCCGCGCGUGGACUCGCCCCAAAGUGAUUGGCAGCCGGCGUACUGGUCCCGGAGCGCAGCACAUGUCGCGCAAACGAGUGCCUUGGUACGGCGGCGUCCAUAAGCCCCUCUCUCACGCUCUUGACCUCGGAUCAGGUAGGGAUACCCGCUGAACUUAAGC
rnacentral:misc_RNA from 1 species